CGUGAGUGAAGAAGGCCUUCGGGUUGUAAAACUCUUUCACCUGUGAGGAUAAUGACGGUAGCAGGAGAAGAAGCACCGGCAAACUCUGUGC
rnacentral:rRNA from 1 species